GAUGAACGCUAGCGGCAGGCUUAACACAUGCAAGUCGAGGGGCAGCACGGGUAGCAAUACCUGGUGGCGACCGGCGCAAGGGUGCGUAACGCGUGAGCAACAUGCCCUAUACAGGGGGAUAAUCCAGGGAAACUUGGUCUAAUAUCCCAUAGUAUUUAGAGGAGGCAUCUUCUAUAAAUUAAAGCUUCGGUGGUAUAGGAUUGGCUCGCGUGACAUUAGCUAGAUGGUGAGGUAACGGCUCACCAUGGCAAUGAUGUCUAGGGGUUCUGAGAGGAAGGCCCCCCACACUGGGACUGAGACACGGCCCAGACUCCUACGGGAGGCAGCAGUGAGGAAUAUUGGACAAUGGAUGGAAAUCUGAUCCAGCCAUGCCGCGUGCAGGAAGACAGCCCUAGGGUUGUAAACUGCUUUUAUAUGGGAGCAAUAAGGUCUACGUGUAGACUGAUGAGAGUACCAUAUGAAUAAGC
rnacentral:rRNA from 1 species